rnacentral:rRNA from 1 species
CCCGGCCCGCCAUGGGGGGCCGGGGGGAAUUCGUUUAACGGGGAAAAACCUACCAGGGUCUUGACAUUUUUUGUUAACUAAAGAGAUUAAGCGUCCCCUUCGGGGAGAAUGACAGGUGGUGCAUGGUUGUCGUCAGCUCGUGUCGUGAGAUGUUGGGUUAAGUCCCGCAACGAGCGCAACCCUUAUUGUCAGUUGCCAGCAUUUAGUUGGGCACUCUGGCGAGACUGCCGGUGACAAACCGGAGGAAGGUGGGGAUGACGUCAAAUCAUCAUGCCCCUUAUGACCUGGGCUACACACGUGCUACAAUGGGUGGUACAACGAGCAGCGAGACCGCGAGGUCAAGCGAAUCUCUAAAAACCAUCCUCAGUUCGGAUUGCAGGCUGCAACUCGCCUGCAUGAAGCUGGAAUCGCUAGUAAUCGCGGAUCAGC